rnacentral:rRNA from 1 species
UACAGAGGUCUCAAGCGUUGUUCGGAUUCAUUGGGCGUAAAGGGUGCGUAGGUGGCGGGGCAAGUUUGGUGUGAAAUCCCGGGGCUCAACUCCGGAACUGCACUGAAUACUGCUUUGCUUGAGCACUGGAGAGGGAACUGGAAUUUACGGUGUAGCAGUGAAAUGCGUAGAUAUCGUAAGGAAGACCAGUGGCGAAGGCGAGUUCCUGGACAGUUGCGUGACACUGAGGCACGAAGGCUAGGGGAGCAAACGGG